CUUUGCUGACGAGUGGCGGACGGGUGAGUAAUGUCUGGGAAACUGCCUGAUGGAGGGGGAUAACUACUGGAAACGGUAGCUAAUACCGCAUAACGUCGCAAGACCAAAGAGGGGGACCUUCGGGCCUCUUGCCAUCGGAUGUGCCCAGAUGGGAUUAGCUAGUAGGUGGGGUAACGGCUCACCUAGGCGACGAUCCCUAGCUGGUCUGAGAGGAUGACCAGCCACACUGGAACUGAGACACGGUCCAGACUCCUACGGGAGGCAGCAGUGGGGAGUAUUGCACAAUGGGCGCAAGCCUGAUGCAGCCAUGCCGCGUGUAUGAAGAAGGCCUUCGGGUUGUAAAGUACUUUCAGCGGGGAGGAAGGGAGUAAAGUUAAUACCUUUGCUCAUUGACGUUACCCGCAGAAGAAGCACCGGCUAACUCCGUGCCAGCAGCCGCGGUAAUACGGAGGGUGCAAGCGUUAAUCGGAAUUACUGGGCGUAAAGCGCACGCAGGCGGUUUGUUAAGUCAGAUGUGAAAUCCCCGGGCUCAACCUGGGAACUGCAUCUGAUACUGGCAAGCUUGAGUCUCGUAGAGGGGGGUAGAACUCCAGGUGUAGCGGUGAAAUGCGUAGAGAUCUGGAGGAAUACCGGUGGCGAAGGCGGCCCCCUGGACGAAGACUGACGCUCAGGUG
rnacentral:rRNA from 1 species